GGGGCUGACUGGCUUUGACAGCGGGCAGAACCGGAAUGUAAGCAUGCAGAGCGUUGUAAGGGGGCUCUAUAAUCUGAACUUUCAAAAGAUAUCUGGCGAGAAUAACUUUGCUCUUGCUGCUUAAUCGAAUAAUAGUAGAUUAGCUUUAUUCCGGCACAAGGUGCUGGAUCAAGACAUCUCCCAAACGCCCAAGUCACGAGGAUGUUUGAACACGGAGGUGCGGUAAUAUCGGGACUCGCUCUGAGCCGGCUUCGGGCAAGGAGUUAAAUUUUAGAAGCUAAGGGUACUUUUGGUGGUCCAGGUCUUGAAGUGUCACGAAAAUGAAGGCUGGAAUAAGCAUGUAGAAAGCAUUUUGUUUCCUCGUUUGGACGUGGGUUCAAAUCCCACCAGCUCCACA
rnacentral:tmRNA from 1 species